AACGCACAUUGCGCCCCUUGGUAUUCCGAGGGGCAUGCCUGUUCGAGCGUCAUUAUAACCACUCAAGCUUGGCUUGGUAUUGGGGUCCGCGGUCUCGCGGCCCUUAAAAACAGUGGCGGUGCCGGCUGGCUCUAAGCGUAGUAAUGCUCUCGCUAUAGGGUCCGGUCGGUGGCUGCCAGAACACCCCAUUUCUAAGUUUGACCUCGGAUCAGGUAGGGAUACCCGCUGAACUUAA
rnacentral:misc_RNA from 1 species